rnacentral:tRNA from 1 species
CGGGGUAGAGCAGCCUGGUAGCUCGUCGGGCUCAUAACCCGGAGGUCGUUGGUUCAAAUCCAGCCCCCG